rnacentral:rRNA from 1 species
CUGUGAGCUCGAUGAGUAGGGCGGGACACGUGGUAUCCUGUCUGAAUAUGGGGGGACCAUCCUCCAAGGCUAAAUACUCCUGACUGACCGAUAGUGAACCAGUACCGUGAGGGAAAGGCGAAAAGAACCCCGGCGAGGGGAGUGAAAAAGAACCUGAAACCGUGUACGUACAAGCAGUGGGAGCCUCUUAAUGGGGUGACUGCGUACCUUUUGUAUAAUGGGUCAGCGACUUAUAUUCUGUAGCAAGGUUAACCGAAUAGGGGAGCCGAAGGGAAACCGAGUCUUAACUGGGCGUUAAGUUGCAGGGUAUAGACCCGAAACCCGGUGAUCUAGCCAUGGGCAGGUUGAAGGUUGGGUAACACUAACUGGAGGACCGAACCGACUAAUGUUGAAAAAUUAGCGGAUGACUUGUGGCUGGGGGUGAAAGGCCAAUCAAACCGGGAGAUAGCUGGUUCUCCCCGAAAGCUAUUUAGGUAGCGCCUCGUGAAUUCAUCUCCGGGGGUAGAGCACUGUUUCGGCAAGGGGGUCAUCCCGACUUACCAACCCGAUGCAAACUGCGAAUACCGGAGAAUGUUAUCACGGGAGACACACGGCGGGUGCUAACGUCCGUCGUGAAGAGGGAAACAACCCAGACCGCCAGCUAAGGUCCCAAAGUCAUGGUUAAGUGGGAAACGAUGUGGGAAGGCCCAGACAGCCAGGAUGUUGGCUUAGAAGCAGCCAUCAUUUAAAGAAAGCGUAAUAGCUCACUGGUCGAGUCGGCCUGCGCGGAAGAUGUAACGGGGCUAAACCAUGCACCGAAGCUGCGGCAGCGACGUUUAUGCGUUGUUGGGUAGGGGAGCGUUCUGUAAGCCUGCGAAGGUGUACUGUGAGGUAUGCUGGAGGUAUCAGAAGUGCGAAUGCUGACAUAAGUAACGAUAAAGCGGGUGAAAAGCCCGCUCGCCGGAAGACCAAGGGUUCCUGUCCAACGUUAAUCGGGGCAGGGUGAGUCGACCCCUAAGGCGAGGCCGAAAGGCGUAGUCGAUGGGAAACAGGUUAAUAUUCCUGUACUUGGUGUUACUGCGAAGGGGGGACGGAGAAGGCUAUGUUGGCCGGGCGACGGUUGUCCCGGUUUAAGCGUGUAGGCUGAUUUUCCAGGCAAAUCCGGAAAAUCAAGGCUGAGGCGUGAUGACGAGGCACUACGGUGCUGAAGCAACAAAUGCCCUGCUUCCAGGAAAAGCCUCUAAGCAUCAGGUAACAUCAAAUCGUACCCCAAACCGACACAGGUGGUCAGGUAGAGAAUACCAAGGCGCUUGAGAGAACUCGGGUGAAGGAACUAGGCAAAAUGGUGCCGUAACUUCGGGAGAAGGCACGCUGAUAUGUAGGUGAAGUCCCUCGCGGAUGGAGCUGAAAUCAGUCGAAGAUACCAGCUGGCUGCAACUGUUUAUUAAAAACACAGCACUGUGCAAACACGAAAGUGGACGUAUACGGUGUGACGCCUGCCCGGUGCCGGAAGGUUAAUUGAUGGGGUUAGCGGUAACGCGAAGCUCUUGAUCGAAGCCCCGGUAAACGGCGGCCGUAACUAUAACGGUCCUAAGGUAGCGAAAUUCCUUGUCGGGUAAGUUCCGACCUGCACGAAUGGCGUAAUGAUGGCCAGGCUGUCUCCACCCGAGACUCAGUGAAAUUGAACUCGCUGUGAAGAUGCAGUGUACCCGCGGCAAGACGGAAAGACCCCGUGAACCUUUACUAUAGCUUGACACUGAACAUUGAGCCUUGAUGUGUAGGAUAGGUGGGAGGCUUUGAAGUGUGGACGCCAGUCUGCAUGGAGCCGGCCUUGAAAUACCACCCUUUAAUGUUUGAUGUUCUAACGUUGGCCCCUGAUCGGGGUUGCGGACAGUGUCUGGUGGGUAGUUUGACUGGGGCGGUCUCCUCCUAAAGAGUAACGGAGGAGCACGAAGGUUGGCUAAUCCUGGUCGGACAUCAGGAGGUUAGUGCAAUGGCAUAAGCCAGCUUGACUGCGAGCGUGACGGCGCGAGCAGGUGCGAAAGCAGGUCAUAGUGAUCCGGUGGUUCUGAAUGGAAGGGCCAUCGCUCAACGGAUAAAAGGUACUCCGGGGAUAACAGGCUGAUACCGCCCAAGAGUUCAUAUCGACGGCGGUGUUUGGCACCUCGAUGUCGGCUCAUCACAUCCUGGGGCUGAAGUAGGUCCCAAGGGUAUGGCUGUUCGCCAUUUAAAGUGGUACGCGAGCUGGGUUUAGAACGUCGUGAGACAGUUCGGUCCCUAUCUGCCGUGGGCGCUGGAGAACUGAGGGGGGCUGCUCCUAGUACGAGAGGACCGGAGUGGACGCAUCACUGGUGUUCGGGUUGUCAUGCCAAUGGCACUGCCCGGUAGCUAAAUGCGGAAGAGAUAAGUGCUGAAAGCAUCUAAGCACGAAACUUGCCCCGAGAUGAGUUCUCCCUGACUCCUUGAGAGUCCUGAAGGAACGUUGAAGACGACGACGUUGAUAGGCCGGGUGUGUAAGCGCAGCGAUGCGUUGAGCUAACCGGUACUAAUGAACCGUGAGGCUUAACCUUACAACGCCGAAG